GAUGAACGCUGGCGGCGUGCCUAAUACAUGCAAGUCGAGCGAACGGACGAGAAGCUUGCUUCUCUGAUGUUAGCGGCGGACGGGUGAGUAACACGUGGAUAACCUACCUAUAAGACUGGGAUAACUUCGGGAAACCGUAGCUAAUACCGGAUAAUAUUUUGAACCGCAUGGUUCAAAAGUGAAAGACGGUCUUGCUGUCACUUAUAGAUGGAUCCGCGCUGCAUUAGCUAGUUGGUAAGGUAACGGCUUACCAAGGCAACGAUGCAUAGCCGACCUGAGAGGGUGAUCGGCCACACUGGAACUGGGACACGGUCCAGACUCCUACGGGAGGCAGCAGUAGGGAAUCUUCCGCAAUGGGCGAAAGCCUGACGGAGCAACGCCGCGUGAGUGAUGAAGGUCUUCGGAUCGUAAAACUCUGUUAUUAGGGAAGAACAAAUGUGUAAGUAACUGUGCACAUCUUGACGGUACCUAAUCAGAAAGCCACGGCUAACUACGUG
rnacentral:rRNA from 1 species